rnacentral:rRNA from 1 species
UACGAAGGGUGCAAACGUUGCUCGGAAUUAUUGGGCGUAAAGCGCACGUAGGCGGCUCUGUAAGUUGGAUGUGAAAUCCCUCGGCUUAACCAAGGAAGUGCAUUCAAAACUGCAGAGCUUGAGUACUUAAGAGGAUCGCGGAAUUCCCGGUGUAGAGGUGAAAUUCGUAGAUAUCGGGAGGAACACCAGUGGCGAAGGCGGCGAUCUGGGAAGAUACUGACGCUGAGGUGCGAAAGCGUGGGGAGCGAACAGG